rnacentral:rRNA from 1 species
AUUCUGGCUCAGGAUGAACGCUGGCGGCGUGCCUAACACAUGCAAGUCGAACGGUAAUAUACGGAUAUUUCGGAUGGAAGUAUAUUAUAGUGGCGGACGGGUGAGUAACGCGUGGAUAACCUGCCUCUCACUGGGGGGAUAGCAGCUGGAAACGGCUGGUAAUACCGCAUACGAUCCACUUUUCGCAUGGAGGGUGGAAGAAAGAUUUAUCGGUGAGAGAUGGAUCCGCGUCUGAUUAGCCAGUUGGCGGGGUAACGGCCCACCAAAGCGACGAUCAGUAGCCGGCCUGAGAGGGUGAUCGGCCACAUUGGGACUGAGACACGGCCCAAACUCCUACGGGAGGCAGCAGUGGGGGAUAUUGCACAAUGGGCGCAAGCCUGAUGCAGCGACGCCGCCGUGAGUGAAGAAGUAUUUCGGUAUGUAAAGCUCUAUCGGCAGGGAAGAAAGGCCCGAAAGGGAGAUGACGGUACCUGACUAAGAAGCCCCGGCUAACUACGUGCCAGCAGCUGC